CCUUUCUUACUCAGCAACCAACUGCAUAGAAGACGCUUUCUGGUGAUGAUGAUGAUGAUGAUGAUGAUGUGGUGAUCCAGGUGACAGGGGCACCAGAGGAGCAUCAGGCUGCAGGUGCCAGACAGGCACAGCGUCCCCCAACAGCCCUCAAGAGGCCUUCAGCUAUGAAAAUAAUACAGUGACACAGGAGCUUCUCAGCAGUAAGUCCUGGGCUCAGGGGGACACAGUGGAGGGUGGGUCAUU
rnacentral:lncRNA from 1 species